rnacentral:pre_miRNA from 11 species
GUCAUUGCCAUCUUACUGGGCAGCAUUGGAUGUUUUCUGUCUUUCUAAUACUGCCUGGUAAUGAUGAUUGUGGCCUUCUCACGCCC